rnacentral:rRNA from 1 species
GCAUAUCAAUAAGCGGAGGAAAAGAAACCAACAGGGAUUGCCUCAGUAACGGCGAGUGAAGCGGCAACAGCUCAAAUUUGAAAUCUGGCCUCUUUGGGGUCCGAAUUGUAAUUUGGAGAGGAUGUUUUUGGGUGUCCGCCGGCCUAAGUCCCUUGGAACAGGGCGUCAUAGAGGGUGAGAAUCCCGUAUGUGGCCGGAAAGGUGCCCUCCGUAAAACUCCUUCGACGAGUCGGGUUGUUUGGGAAUGCAGCCCUAAAUGGGAGGUAAAUUUCUUCUAAAGCUAAAUACCGGCCAGAGACCGAUAGCGCACAAGUAGAGUGAUCGAAAGAUGAAAAGCACUUUGGAAAGAGAGUUAAACAGCACGUGAAAUUGUUGAAAGGGAAGCGCUUGCGAUCAGUCUCGACGGCGGCCGUUCGGCCUCUCUUCUGAGUGGUUUAUUCGGUCGCCGCCGGGCCAGCAUCAGUUUCGGCGGUUGGAUAAAGGUUGCGGGAAUGUGGCCCCCCUCGGGGGGUGUUAUAGCCCGCUUCGUAAUACAGCCAGCCGGGACUGAGGUCCGCGCUUCGGCUAGGAUGCUGGCAAAAUGGUCGUAAGCGGCCCGUCUUGAAACACGGACCAAGGAGUCUAACAUCUACGCGAGUGUUCGGGUGUCAAACCCGUGCGCGCAAUGAAAGUGAACGGAGGUGGGAUCCCGCAAGGGCGCACCAUCGACCGAUCCUGAUGUCUUCGGAUGGAUUUGAGUAAGAGCGUAGCUGUUGGGACCCGAAAGAUGGUGAACUAUGCCUGAAUAGGGYGAMSCCAGASGAAACUCUGGUGGAGGCUCGCASCGGYUCUGACGYGCMAAYCGAUCSUCAAAUCUUGGSYAYAGGGGCSAMMGACWAAUCGAACCAUCUAGUAGCUGGUUCCUGCCGA